CCCUCUGUAAUCUGCGCCUCAGUUUCCUCCUCUGUCGAUGUUUGUGGGAUUAAAAGCGCUUUGUAAACUAUAAAGCGUCAGUGUACAUAAGGGAUCGUUAUUAUUUGUAAAAUUUUCUUGAUUUUUAAGAAAACAGCAGUUUCCCAACCCAUCGAUCUUGAACCUAGGAACCUUGGAUUGGAGUUGGAUAUUCCCAAACUCCCCGAAAUUGUAUGCAGAAAGUAGUGGGAAUGUGCAUUUUAGGGGAGUGAGGAUCCAUCGCCAACGACUUUUCAAAGGGAAAUGUCACCCCCCUCCCCCAAGAGUUAACCACAAUUUCUCAAUGCCACAGGGAGGAAACUGAGGCCUAGAUGUCAUUUGAGAUCCUCCACAACCAAUUUGAAGCCCCUGUUUGAAUCCCUGGGAUAUGUGAGCUUUUCUGUGCAUAAUGGAUAUUGGGGUAACAACACUCCACUGCUUGGCUUUUUUCCUGAGUCCUUUCCUUUCCCCAUGGGGUGCCUGAAGGGUGGCUAAUGCAUAUGGUACAGUGGCAUCCAGUAUAAAGCAGCUGAAACUAGGAGUGGAUGUGUUCUCUAGUAUCAAGAAGCCUAUUUAAUCUUUGGCCCAUUCACUUCGUUGCUGCUUAUACUGGUGCCUACCUUUCUGACUCUUUCAUUCACCAUUUUCCACGACCAUGUUUGCCAUCUGUUACUUGCUCCUAUUUUAUACCCCUAGUCUAUGUGGUUGGUAGUGAGCAGGCUUGUUUUUAAAUGGUGCUGCCACGUCUAGCUAAUUAAUGGUGCAGGUGGAUUUUUCGAAAGCUGGCUAACUGGAACAGACUGAUCCAGGCAUGGAAUUCCUGAAGAUGUUGGGGGGUUAUUUUUAUUAAUUGAAGGUUAACAUUUUCUGAAAAAUUGAGUUCGAACCUGUGCUGAACCUCAGAAUCAGUAGGUUUGGAAGUUUUUCCAAGCUUAACUUUUUUCCUGGACUGCUUUGUAUUCUCUUUGCUUGCAAGUGUGUUGCUAAGGUGGCCAAAAUGCCUGUUUUUUGCUUCUUUGUUAAUUGUCAGCUGCUUUUAUCUAAUUCCAGGCUAUUACCCAGCAAACACUAUAGAAAUGUUUGAACAGUUGGAUUUCAAACAUUUUUGUUCUGUGGAGUGGUACAACUCUAAACAAACGAACACACACGUUUAAGUGUAUUUUGUCUGGUUAGGUGUUACCCGGUUCUGCUAUUGCAUACAAAUGUCUGGAAAAAAAUCAAUUGACUGUUUCCUUUAUCUAAAGGGCAGAGACAAAUGAUCUCACUUCCAGAGAAAUAACUUAUUUGGGGGGGAAUGUGUUGGUCUUUUGUAAUAAAACCUGGAUGUACUGCAAAAGAAUCUUAAUUAAGAUUGUGGUGAGAAGAUGCUUUUCUCAGCAGAAAAGAGGGACACAAACAUCUGGAACUCAAAAGCUUGAAAUUCUGUGACAAAACACGAGAUGUCCAGGAUAGUGGGUUGAAAGGGUUUCACUACAGUGUUUCGCACUAGCUGGAGCAGAUGUCUUUCAGUCGCCACGGCGUGGACUCCAGAUUUGCAAGACCUGGGACCUGGAUGCGUUUAUGAGGAUGUGACAGGAACUCUGGAGCUGGAUAGUUUUAAUUUGGGGGCUGUUGACCUCGCUUUCAGAAGAGAGAUGACGACGACUAAGCAAGCAGUGCCACUGGCGCUCUUACUGGGAGUUUGAAGACCUGAGUUUCUGCCAGACCUCAGUGCAAACUCUGAUGACACUGCAUCCAAAGUGAACUACGAUAGCAAGCCCCUUGGAAAAAAGUCUUCGAAUCUUUGCCCACACAUACUACCACAUAUGAUGAAGCUUUUAAUAGGAAAGAGGAAUUUAGAGAGCAGGCUAUCCCAGAAUAAGUAUUCACCUACAGAUUUGGUACCUGGAUUUCUGUCCAUGGUGAUUCCUAUCACCUAACUACUGAAGAAGAUACCAUUCCAGUGGACCACUGUGACCCAAGGGACAGUCAACCAUCAUGAUGUGGUCUUCACCUCCACUCCUGACCUUUGCUACCCAGAUUGAGCACAUCCUUUAGGUGAAGUCAAACUCCUCAAGCCAGAUAGCUGAGACUGUUUUCAUCACAACAAAGGCUCAGUUUGUCCAUGCGUGUGUAUUUUGUUUCUUCAGUUAAAGCCUUCAGAGACACGUAAUAAAUUUGGACCAGGGGAUUCUUGGUUUUCAACAUUGUCUGAAGAAUGGUAACAUCUUGAGAACAACAUUGGACCACAAUCUCAAAUGUUUAUGAAGUGUUGAGGAUCCCAUACAGCAUUUUGUGAACAGCUUAUUCUUAGAUCAUUGGUUUUCCAAAGGCUCUGUGGCCAUGAAGCCCUUUGAACGAAAACUAUGUGGAAGCCCAAAGUAAAAGUGAAGUUGCUCUGGAUGAAGCAGAGUGGGGGUCCUGAAAUCUGCCACAAGCAUCUUCCUUUAUCGCCAUGGUGACACCUAAGGAGAGACUUCUUUACAGCACCUAGAAUUCUUCAGAACACUUUUUGAAAAACAGUACUCUAGACAACAAUAUGUUCGACCUGAAUGAUAUUCCAAUCUGUACCUCUACCCAACACAGUCCAUGUUCAGUUGGUACUGAACAUUCUUAGGAAUACUAUGGACAAACUCAGAAAAGUGCAAGAACUUUGCCUCUAAGUAGUUAUAUGGGCCAAAAGUAUAUCAAAUGAACCUAAAUUAAUCAUGCGCUACCCCCAUAUGGACUUACAGUAAUUCCUGGGUUUGGGUAUAGACAGUAAAUCAUACGUACUCUACACUGACAAACCCCCUUACCCAACUUCUUUCACAAACACCAGAUGCUCCGAUGGUACUUGAAAUACGUGAAUCUGAAGUCUUGAUCCUCCUUAGAUACCUGAAUUGCCAGGUAUUGAAGCUGAUGCCUCAUUGAGGCCAUAGUAGACCAACUUGUUCAUCGGACCUCCCAUCAUCAACCAUGGUACUCUACUUCCAUGUGCAAGGGGUAACCAUUAACUAUGAAAGCAGAAUGCAAAUUCUGGCAACAUUAAAAGGGUACCUGGUUUUAUCAUUCAUCUUAUUCUCAACUACAAGUCACUAUGACUCAAUCAGUGGCAGUAAUACUACUGCUUGGUUUUUACUUUUAACUGCUGUUUCCAGGAUAAAUGAGCUAAUGACAUUUAAUAAGCUAAAAUAAUUCCUCCAUCAUUGGCAUAUCUGCUUGGCAUAUUCUGCUCUUAUAAUUAUGAAUACUCUGCUCUAACUACAUGUAAGACCUAAUCCACAGGAGACCAUCUUUGAACAUCUUUUCUGAUGUAUGUCAUUUAAAAUGUGGCCAUUGGGAAAGUUUUCUUCUAGCCAUUGAGUUUUUCUUUUAAGAUGGGUCUUGAUGUCUGGUACCAUCAACUGUAGAUAUUAGGGAUAUUUUGAGGUAGGCACUUGCUGAGAAACUCAAAUUGUGUAUAAUCUUUUGCUGGAAAUGUAGACUGACUUGGAAAAAAAAAUCUACAAAUCCUGCAGCUAAAGAUUUUGUCAGUAGAUUCAAGCUUCCCGUUGUGCUUCCUAAUGUCACAAGACCACAGUCCCUUGUCCUUGUGGAUAUGUUCAUGGAAUUUUACCUGUCUCAAUACUGUUUGAACACUGAUUCAGAGUGGCCGACUUCAUUCCUCAGGCAUUGAGACAACUUACCUGUUUCUGCAGGAAGGAUUCAGUUUGUGAACUUCCAGACCAAAUCAUGUUAAACAAGUAGACUGAAAUCUUAUUUACUUCACAGUUGACUUAAGGGCCAGCUGUCCUCAACUACUUCAAUGAAUGCACUGGUUAAAUGUUGGAAAUGGUUUCUUUAUAUCUCUCUUAUCCACUAGACUAAUUAUGAGAACAUGACUUAGUCUUCAAAUCAAUCUAGGCCUAAGCCUGGUUACUCUAGACUGCUUACCAUCAACAGAUAAAAAUAAAAUGAUGACUAUCCUGCUUGUAUAUACAACUAUUUGUAAAAAAGAAAUCUACAAACUCACCUUUUUUACUGCCUUCAAAAUAUCAGCUAGAUUUUUCUUCUGUACAGGAAAAGACAUUGAUCUACACUGCCAGUCAUUCCCUUAAUUCCUGUCAAACUCAGUCAAAAUGAGGGGCUUAAGGUGAGGAUGAUCAUCUUUCAAGAGUCUAAUGAACACUGUGUAUAAGAAUUGAUGUUUGAAAAAGCAAAAAAAAAAAACUAAAAUUCAAACCUAAGUUCUUAACCUACUAUCUCCAUGCCUCAGAUCUCAUCUAAGUCCAGCAGCACCAUUCAACCAGUUUGAGACCUUGACUUGUUUUUGAUUCCCAGAGAUGUGCUGAAUUAUAGAAGAUGGAGAUUUUGAUAACCAAAGAAAGUAGUGCCAAUCUUGAUGAACCCUAUUAUUCCCAGGUGUAGGAAUAGACACCUAAACAGAACCUCAAGUCUGGAUUGAGAAUUUAGCCUUCUGAGCUGAAAAUUGUUGUUGGGCAAAUGAGCAGGAAAGUGAAAGCUGCUGUACCCGACUGGCUACUUAAGAUCUGAAAAGUGUAUCCAGAAUAAACACUAUGGAUUAACCCUGGAGUAUUCCAGGUAAAAACUAAUUCACAGAACUUCAAUAUUAAACUACGUGUUCUUCCUUAUACCCUUGUUACUGGUAUAGCUGGCCCUGCUGAAGGUACCCUACUUACCUAUUUACCUGACUCGGCCCUUGCCUGCCUUUUUUGACACAUUGCUGCAAUCAAACUUGCUGUCCUGGAACAGACCACAACUGAUCUCAGCCUAUCUUAUACCCGAUUCCACCAAGGAGUUUUGAACUGAAGCAACCUGCACCUCACUCCACCAGGAUUUCAUGUUCUCAACAGGAAGGACCAUGCUGUGUACUUUUUUGACCAGCAGCAGUCCUCUUUUUUAAGUGCAGAGUAAGCCUCAGCCUAUAUAUAUUUGAUCAUUUUCAGCACCUGGAGCUCCUUCUACCAGAUCUGAAGGAGUAUAGCAGAUUAAAAGCACUGUCAAUUUCUCUCUUCUGCAGUAAUACAGAAGUUGAGUCUGAAUCAACAGCACAGAAAUGAGAAAUGUCCAACUUGGCAAAAGACUUGAACACAAAAGAUUUCUAGGAAUUUCCAUGUACCACUGACUUGAAUAGCCUCACAGAACUACUUUCCAUUGGGAGACUAGUUGUCUUGCAUUAUGUCAACUAGAUAAUUGAGCUCUCAGACUCUUAUAUUGAAACUCCAUUGUAUCAUCUAGAGUAUGUUACUGGACAUGAUUAUUCCAUACAAAUGGAUUAUAAGCUUCCUGACCACAGGACAUACUCAUGAUAUGUGUGUUUUUCGGAAUACUUUUAUUACCAAGAAAGAAUAAUGCCAGCUGUUACAAUUCAACUUUAUGAGCAGAGAUUAAGCUUUUUCAAUAUCCGAUGUUAUCAUUGAUAUCAGUUACUUUUAAUUGACCAGCAUUUAUUCCAUCUCUUCGUAACAACUCCCUGAUGUUUCUUGGAACCGUAUCCUCCCUAUUUUCAGUCCACAGAGUCCAGACAGUCUGACCUAACCUUAGAGUUCAUGUGUGGACGUACUGUAGUUCAGACCUGAUCAAUCGGCAUAGUUCAUCUCCUUGAUCAUAGUGAUUGAUUCGAUUCAGGAAUGGUCAUGUGAUUCAAGUUGAUCCAGUGAUACUCAACCCUAGGAGUUUACUGAACCGUGGAAGAGGAAAAGCUCAGAAACUCUGUAUUUACUGAGGUUGCUUACCUUUGCAGGAUGAACAAGCUCAAACCAGCAGGGUCCACCAUAUAAAAUGAGCCAGUCAGAGAAUGAAGCCAGUGCAGAGGAAAGCGGAGCCAAAUGAUGGAGAGACUUGAGUCCUGAUGACAAUGUUUGUGCUCCUAGAUCCAUCCGUGCCUGAAGCUAGUAUAUCCUCUGGAUUUUUCAGUUUUGUGAACCAAUAAAUACCCUUUUGUUUAAGUUA